UACGUAGGGGGCGAGCGUUGUCCGGAGUACUGGGCGUAAAGCGUGCGCAGGCGGCGAUGUAAGACAGAUGUGAAAUCCCCGGGCUCAACCUGGGAACUGCAUUUGUGACUGCAUCGCUGGAGUACGGCAGAGGGGGAUGGAAUUCCGCGUGUAGCAGUGAAAUGCGUAGAUAUGCGGAGGAACACCGAUGGCGAAGGCAAUCCCCUGGGCCUGUACUGACGCUCAUGCACGAAAGCGUGGGGAGCAAACAGG
rnacentral:rRNA from 1 species